UGAUAGCGUAGAAGCGUGAGGUUGCUGCAGAAUAAAUCUGCAGGUUUUCCGUGGAGCGAAUGUCAAGUUAUGGAAACUGGCGACAA
rnacentral:ncRNA from 1 species